UUGGGGUGGAAUUUGUCGAGGCGGCUUCCGGGUUCUCUGCCGGACGCCCUCUUCCUUCUCAGCCAGACUCCCAAUACUUUUCAGGCUUGGACGAUUUUGUUUUCUCCAGCGUGGAACUCAUCUCCCUGACUCUAAAGUAAGUUUGAAUCUUUUAUUACACUGUCGAUCUUUUUUUUUUUUUUCACAGUUGGAGUGCCUGGGAGAGCGGAGGCUUCGUGGCCGUUUGUCUGCCGUCGAUCAUCGGACACAAAGUAUGGCUGCGGAUCGAGAGGUGGUACCCAUGCUGACAGCGGCUAUCUGGAUUCUCGUGGCCAAUUCAGGAUAGGGGAACUGCAGCUCAACCUCCUCGAAGAGCACUGCCAGGACAAUUGAGGGCUCCUUUCGGCAGCCCUCUGCUGUGACAUGGACAUCCACUUUUUAUUUAAUUGAUUUUCAUGUUGUAUCAUUUCUGCCCUCUCUGCAUCCAUUUCAACCUGGUGAUCCUGAAAGGGGGAUCCUUCCAUCUGUGGUCCCUUCUCAAGGUUUCUCAUUUUCCCCCUGCUAGGGGUUUUUAAGUUUUUCCUUGCCCUUUUGGGAGCUUAAGAUCAGGGGAUGCUUUGAGAAUAAUUGUCAAUUUCUGUCUAUGUGAAGCCCUUUGAGACUGCUUGUGAUUUAGGGCUAUACAAAUAAACUUGACUUGACUAGAAA